CGGCCUUGACCUGCGGGACGGCACCGGCGUUCCGGCCGCCCGGGACGACGGUUCCGGCGAAGGACCGUACGAAGCGGUCCGGGCCGU
rnacentral:tRNA from 1 species